ACACUUAGCAGUGACGUAACGGCACAGUCGGAGUGCACGGAAAGCUGCGUGACUCACAUUUUUCAAGGAGUACGCUGCUUUCCUGUUGCAUACAAUGAAGUCUGGACAGUGUGAGAGCAAAACAGGAAACGCCGGGUCAUCGGUGGAAUUUGCAUUUAUGAAUGUGAGAGCGGCUACAAACAUCUGAAGUAGGACAAUAGUCAGAUGUUCAGUUCCCACUCACCGAUGGUGAAAUGAUCCUUUAGACCAGGGAUGAUCAACUGUGGUCGUGGAGGAUCGGGAUUUUGGAUUUCUCCCUCUUCCAAAUCACCUGCCUCCCCCACACCCGAUUCAAAUGAUCAGGAAUGUUCCCCUCAAGGAUCGGAGUUGCCCCCACUCACCUUCGAGCCAGAACUAGUCCAUAAACCCACGACCCUGAACAGGAGGUUACACGUUAAUGAUGCAUGGCAUUUAAGUUUUGGACUAACCUGAAAUGAAUGAUCCUACCUUAUUUUCCCAUGGGGAGUUUCCAAUUGAGGAAAAUUCCUGUUAUUUUGCAGCACCAAUUACCACCAUGUGUUUUGUCAUUUGAGUUUGACAAAGGAGCAGAUGGAACAAUCGAUUCCAUUUCCCCAUGUUGAAAUGUUAUGUCAUCCAUGAAAGAUGAGAUACUCUAUGCCCUAACUGAUGGCUUUAGCAACAUCCAGAGAAGAAAGAUCAUGCGGUCACAAAGGAAGAGCAUUCAUUAGACGGGAACAUCGUGGUUAUGUGUCUCUUGAUUUCAUAACAAGUCUUCCAACCACCAGUGUUAUUUGUGGUGGAUGCUGAGGCGACAGUCAGACAAUUUGCAACUUGGAUCAGCCAUUUGUUCUGCUGUGGGUCAGAGCAUCGUGUUUGCUGCUGUGUCACAAUAGUCUAUAAAAAGCUCAUUGAGAACAUUUUGCUGCCAUGGUAAAUUAUGCACAUUUUAGUGUUUUAACUCCCUCUUGCUAUUUUGGGUGUGUAAGUCCUCUCAGGCACCAGUGAAAAUCAAUGUGUGUGUACUUGUGUGUGUGCUGUGCGGACACAAUAGGCCCACAGCGCAGGCCGUAUCUGGACUUCAUUUACUCCUCGUCUGAUAAUAAGUGUCUCCUCUCUGCUGUACUCAAUUACAUCUUCAUUAGGUUGCUAACUUGCUCCCAACUAACCAUCAACGUACGUGCAGAUUUUAAGUCCGUGUGACAUUAUUUACCAAGAUGGCUGAGUCCACAGGUGAAAGGAGCGAGGGCUAAAGCGUGAUACAAGAAUUAUACCUUCAUCUCUCAGGACCAUUCAGCGUCUGGAGCCGUAGUCUCCGGUCUCAUCAUAGCAUCAAUUCAUUUUCAUUUAUCCACUGAUGAACUCAGUUCCUUCAUCAUUUACUCGAGGCGGUCUCUAAACAAGAUGAGUGGCUGACGUGGUGACCUCUUCUAGUCAGGGUCUGCCAAUCAAAUUCUAGACACAUUAUAAUCAGCAGAUAAACAAUCAGUGUUGCCAUUCCGCAAGAUGAGAUGUUACAUCAGACUCAGAGUCAAGACUCAAGAGUAAAGGCUCAUGCUGCAUAGUUAACAGCUGGGAAUUGACUAGAUUCACUGGACAUGUCAUUAGGAACACUCAAGACUUUUAUGUAGCUGGAUAUGCUUUAUUGUAUGAUCUGCAUUUAUAUUACUGGUCCUAUUAUUGUUUAUAGGUUUAUCAUAUUUUAGGUUAUUUAUUUAUUUAAUGCAUGGAAUUGUAGUUACCACCAUGUGAAUGGCUUGUAGUUAUCAUAGGAUUACUAAGUCCACCACUUUCAUUAAGUUCCACUAUCAUGUGUCAUUUUGGGCCUAAUGAAUGAAUGAAACUUUAUUACAUAUGUCGUACAUUUAGACUGUAACAGGUCCCUUGAUGGUGUUCUUUCUAAGCAAUUGACUUUUGAAGCAUUUGGAAGAGGUUUUAUUUUUUAAUCGCAUUGAAUUGCUGGGCAGUGUCAACCCUCUAAGAGACCAUGUUACAUUUGUUGGUGAGGUAACAUCCAGGCAGAAUCCUCGCCAUGCUAAAUGGUCUGUUAAAAAAUAAAUUCCAACUAAGCACAGAAACACUGCUUAAAGAAGUGUGACCGUUUAGCUACAUUAGUGCUAUUUAAGAAGAACAGGAAGAAAGACAUUAUCAUGACAAAUAUAUAAUUGUUUUUCUCCAUGACUACAUUUUCUUCAUCCCUUUCACCAAUCAGCUCUGGCUUCUGUCUCAUUCAGUGUCGGUAAAAUAUUGAGACAGAGUUCAGAGAGGAGGCAAAGUCUGUGAAGCGAAUGGCUGUUAAUAAGACAAACAGUGAGGGAGAGUAUCUUAAAUAAGCAGCCCUCCUUCCACUGGCCACUGGCGCCAUUUCAACAAGUAGUUCCGCACAAGCAAAUCUGUCAGUCAGCUCAUGGCGUGUGUGACGGCUUUCAGCAGACAGCUCUCGUUUGAACAUUGAGAAGCAAAAAAAUAAUAAAAAAUCUGUCACUGUGACUAAGUGAAGGAUCCUUAGUCAGAGGAUUUUCCAUUGUUUCAUCUCUUAUUUUUUUUAAAAAGAUUGGUGUUGUUUCAUCUAGUUACAUUUUAUGAAUAUUAGGGCUGUGCACCAAUCGGUGGUGAGGGAAACACCGAAUCUCACUUUUUGCAUUCAAGUCAGAACAGGUCAGGCCAAAACACAAACUUCAAUGGCAGGAGAUGAAAACAAACAGACUAGGGCUUAGGGCUAGCUAGCAGCUGGCACAACGCAAGCAGAUGGAUUUAAAAUUGGUCCAAAAGAACACCAUGGGUUUUGCCGUUGGCCAGAGUACGGCGAGGGAUCGUGAGGGUUUAGGAAAGUUAUUUGAAGCUAAAAUGGAAAACCUUUACCUAAGUUAAUUCAUUGAUGUCCACGUCACCAUGUCUUCCAGGCUUGACAGUAUGGUGUAGUUAAUGCGCUACAUACAUGCAAUGGUGAUCAAGAUUUUUUGGACUUUAAUAUAAUUUUGGCUAAAGUACAAUUAGUAAUCCAUUUGAGUUAAUUCAGAACGAGGGACACGUCAAAAACACGGUGGAUAGGUGCCCUGGAAGACCGGACUUGGUGACCCCCCUGGUUUAACGGAUGUUCAAAGUAGUAUGCUUCUUCUACACUUAAUAUUUUAUUUGAAACAUUGCUCGUACAUUUGAUAAAAUUUUAUGAUGGUGAAAAUUUGACUAUUAAAAAAAGGAGUUUCAACUACAAACCUUUCAUUACAGAUUUUUUUCUUUUCUAAACAAACCUUACAAUGUCAUAAGAAUAUUCUGUCUCCAGAGUUGGAGAGGCGGUCGCAACCUACAUCAGUUUUGGAACAAAGUUAAAACAUGCAUUGUUGUUCUGCGGUGCCUUUGACGCACUUCCCUUUCAAGCUGUCUUGGCUGCGUGUCUGAGCUAAAUUUGUGUCUUUCCUCAUGUGUUGGCAGAAGUGAAACUCAAAGCACGAUCAGAGCACGCAUACAGGAAGCAAAGUUACAGUGUACACAAUGAAGAAUGCUUGAGCAGACAUCAGACAUCGGCUCUGUUAUAAUACACGGCGGCAAAAGUCACACGGCACCAAAGGUGAAGCCACAUUGUUUCUUGUCAAGUAUACGUUUGAAAUGUUUGUGUUGAAAGUCAAAUAUGGCCAGCAAAUGUCACCCUGUCUCUUAUAAACCUACUUUGGAUUUGGUUUCCAUCAACAUAAAGGGCAUAAAAAGGCAAAGACUGCAAGCAAAUGGUCUUUUAUGUAUCCACUGCAUGCACUCAACUUCAUGACAUUUGAUACAAAACAAAGCAAUAACAAGAACUGUACAGUGAAACAACAGAAUAUAAAUGACAUUUUGAUAUUACACAGCAGAGACUUAAAGUUAAACUAAAGUGCUGCAUAGUUUUGCUACACAAAG